GCGUCGGUGGUUCAGUGGUAGAAUAGUCGCCUGCCACGCGGGUGGCCCAGGUUCGAUUCCCGGCCGACGCA
rnacentral:tRNA from 1 species